UUGAGGCGUGGCUACCGCCUAGAACCCACCCCUUCCCCUUUGAUCUUGGACGGGUCUUGUUUAUUGGCCGCUGAUUGGCCAACAUGUGAGAUUAGCCCGCCUCUGACUUUCCAGGGGCGGGAGAAUUUCAGGCUGAUCUUUGAUAGGUUCCACACUUCUGCUACUUUGGCCGCUGCCAUUGGCCCUCACCACUUCGCUCUCCUAUUGGCUACGGAAGAAGCACCGGGGGGAAUGUUAGCUAACAACUUUGGGACCCAGACUGGUGCCUGGGAGGCUGCGGGCGCCUCCGGUGGUGUGGGUAGGUGCGGCGCUGGCUCUCAAGGUCAAACUACUGGCGGCCGUUAGGACCCGCGCUCAGAGCCUCGAGGCCCGGACGCGAGAACACUGUUCCCGCGGGAUCUCGCGGCGGCGGCGGGGCCGGGGCUGACCCUGCUGGGCACUCCCUGCUCGGCCGGGUGCCAGACUAGGAAGUGGCUGGGGCACGCGGGCUGGCUCCAAUCCCGCUUCUCCGCCAGGGAUGACCGCAGCGACCUCCUGGACCCCGGUCGACUCUGGAGUUUUGGACGGACCCUGAAAGACCCAGUGGACCUCGGCCCCAGCCCCUUCACGGGCCUUACACCCGAAAAGUCGCUCCGCUUCAAGACUGCUCCUGCUCCAGGGCCGCGACGUUGUGCAGAGGCUGAAGCUGAAACCUCCGCUGAGGACCCCAGGCGCCGUUUCCACCCAGUCAGCACGGCAUCUUCAUUCUCCUCUGGAUCGUAUUUGCACAAGCUUUCCCCGUUUUCACUUCUGUUUUUAUUACUCAUUUUAAUGAGAUGAUGCAACUGUUAACUUUCCCAUCUGUUUGUAGCCCUUAGGUGGGGAAGAGGUUUUCCAUUUUCUUUCUAAAGCUUAGUCCUUCUCUGGACCUCUGAUCCCCCUCCCCCAUCCAGUCUAUUCUCUUCCUUUUCAGUAGUGGUUAUUAACUUUUCCGUAGCGACCUUUUGUAAAAUAAUAAAGCUACAAAUUCUCUUUCUCCCACUCCCUAUUUCCCAUGCACACACAAAAUUUUGCAUAUAACGCCUGAGUUGCAAAGUCCCUAAAAUGACUUGUGCACUCCUUAAGUACAUUCACAUGUACCUUCGAAGCCUACAGCAGUGUCUGCUCCUUUCCCUUGAGAAAUGAAUAGGGGCCACAUAAACCCCUCAAUCCUGCUUGAGUACUGAUUCCCUUUACUGCCAAAUUGCUCCAGUAAGACCUUACACCUCCUAUGCUCUUUAAGCUCUAUACUGUAUUUUUACUGCUUUAUUCAGUGGUCAUAAAUUUUCUUUCCAAAUCCAAUGGCCAUUUUCUUUUUUUUAAAAUGAUGCACAUUGCUUUAUUAAAGUGAAAUUUAAAUAAACAUGUAUACAUUCGAUGGAGUUUUCCCAUUUUAUAAUCUCACAGUGAUGAUGCUUCCUUAAAUUGCAGUGUGCACACACACAGAUGUAAGGCCUCUUCCCUUUAGUUACCUAAAGAGAAAUUGAUUCCCAAAUGAUAGGCCAUAAGAGCUGU
rnacentral:lncRNA from 1 species